AGCCCGUAACAGAGAAGUGAUCGAAUUGAUGUUUCUUUACCGUCAAAAUUAGCUACGUUAUCGACAAACUUAAUUGAGUAGUGACCGAACUAUUGGUACUUUAACGUUAAAAAGAUUGACAAUGCUGACAAACUUUCAUGUGUCGAUAAUCAAGUUUAAUACCGAUAAUAUUGAAAAUAAUUCUAAUAAUAUGAAACAAAAAUAUGUCCAUGCACCAUUUCGAUUGGGCGAAAAGUAGUCAUUUCUUCAAAGUCAGAACAGAAAAAAAAGAUUUAUGGAAGGACGUCUUGAUAGUAUUAUUUCCUUUACAAUUUUACCCAAAACUAAAAGAAAUAUACUGGUAAACAAUUAAAAAGGUGUUUGAUAGGAAUGAAGUCCUUUAUUUUUUCGGACUACAAUGUGUACCGUAUGUGUGAUGGAUUUGAAUUCAAUCAAUAACUUUGAAAUGUUUUCUCAUAUGUAUACACAAAAGGGAGGACUGGUAUUUGUACUUCUGUUAGAAUAUGUCUUCGUCCGUUUCACAUGCCAAACUUUUUUCUAGUACAGUUUAAACGGGAAAAUUUUGUUGAGAAUUUUUUUAAUAUGACAAAAUAACGAGCAAAACUAUUUCUUGCAAUGGCACACACAGAGAAUAUUUUUUUUAGUAAAAAUCAGUAAAAAAAAAAUUCUCCAAAAUAUACCAUGGCCAGGACCUGACAGUUUUUAGCAGUGUACAAAUGAAAAUCGUCCGGAAAACUGCGCUUGCUGUCAUUUUGAGGGAUCAUGCAACAUUUCACCUAUUACCCAUAAACAACAUAGGUUCUCAAUUACUAAAAAAAGUUCUAAAAGAUAAUUUCAAAUCAGAGUAAACAUAUUAACUUCCUUAUAUCCAGUCGAAUUUGUCUAUAGGUUACACAAAGCUGGUUCUUAAAACGUUUGUAUCAGGGAAAACAUUUUUCUUUGACUUUUAAAACAUGUAGGGGAAACGG
rnacentral:lncRNA from 1 species